CAGGGCUCUCUGUAUACUGUGUACUUAAAUCAGGAGGUCUCUCUGUAUACUGUGUACACCAGUAAAUCAGGCAGGCCGGGGCUCUCUGUAUACUGUGUACAGCAGUAAAUCAGGCAGGUCAGGGCUCUCUGUAUCCUGUGUACAGCAGUAAAUCAGGCAGGUCAGGGCUCUCUGUAUACUGUGUACUUAAAUCAGGAGGUCUCUCUGUAUACUGUGUACACCAGUAAAUCAGGCAGGCCGGGGCUCUCUGUAUACUGUGUACACCAGUAAAUCAGGCAGGUCGGGGCUCUCUGUAUACUGUAUACAGCAGUAAAUCAGGCAGGUCAGGGCUCUCUGUAUACUGUGUACUUAAAUCAGGAGGUCUCUCUGUAUACUGUGUACAGCAGUAAAUCAGGAAGGCCAGGGCUCUCUGUAUACUGUGUACACCAGUAAAUCAGGCAGGCCGGGGCUCUCUGUAUACUGUGUACAGCAGUAAAUCAGGCAGGUCAGGGCUCUCUGUAUAUGGUGUACAGCAGUAAAUCAGGCAGGUAAAGGCUCUCUGUAUACUGUGUACAGCAGUAAAUCAGGCAGGUCAGGGCUCUCUGUAUUCUGUGUACAGCAGUAAAUCAGGCAGGCCGGGGCUCUCUGUAUACUGUGUACAGCAGUAAAUCAGGCAGGUCGGGGCUCUCUGU